rnacentral:lncRNA from 1 species
UGGCGCACGUGGAGCCGGGCACGCUCACACUCACCCCCGGAGCCUUGCACGCUCAGCACGGGCCAUGCACGCUCGCACUCGGCCUCGUGAGCCUUGCACGCUCACCCCCGGAGCCUUUGCACGCUCAGCACGGGCCAUGCACGCUCGCACUCGGCCUCGUGAGCCUUGCACGCUCACCCCCGGAGCCUUUGCACGCUCGGAGCUUUGCACGCUCACCCCUGGAGCUUUGCACGCUCACCCCUGGAGCUUUGCACACUCACCCUUGGAGCCUUGCACGCUCACCCCUAGAGCUUUGCACGCUCACCCCUAGAGCUUUGCACACUCAGCCCCGGAGCUUUGCAUGCUCACCCCCGGAGCCUUUGCACACUCGCUCUCCGGCCGCGCACGCUCCCCGCAGGGCCAUGCACGCUCCCGCUCAGCCUCCGGAGCCUUGCACGCUCGCCGUGCACCAGGCAGCCCCCGGGCCGUGCACGCUCGCCCCAGGCCGUGCACGCCGGCCCUCACCACCGAGCCAU